GUCCACGCCCUAAACGAUGAGGACUAGAUGUCGGGAGGGACUGCCUCUCGGUGUCGUAGCUAAACGCGCUAAGUCCUCCGCCUGGGGAGUACGGCCGCAAAGGUUGAAACUCAAAGGAAAUUGACGGGGACCCCGGCACAAGCGGUGGAGCAUGUGGUUUAAUUCGAUGCAACGCGAAGAACCUUACCUGGUCUUGAACAUCCGUGGAACUCGGCAGAAAUGCCUUUGGUGCCUUCGGGAACCACGAGACAGGUGCUGCAUGGCUGUCGU
rnacentral:rRNA from 1 species